AGGAUGAACGCUAGCUACAGGCUUAACACAUGCAAGUCCAUGGGCAGCAUGGUCUUAGCUUGCUAAGGCCGAUGGCGACCGGCGCACGGGUGAGUAACGCGUAUCCAACCUGCCGUCUACUCUUGGACAGCCUUCUGAAAGGAAGAUUAAUACAAGAUGGCAUCAUGAGUCCGCAUGUUCACAUGAUUAAAGGUAUUCCGGUAGGCGAUGGGGAUGCGUUCCAUUAGAUAGUAGGCGGGGUAACGGCCCACCUAGUCUUCGAUGGAUAGGGGUUCUGAGAGGAAGGUCCCCCACAUUGGAACUGAGACACGGUCCAAACUCCUACGGGAGGCAGCAGUGAGGAAUAUUGGUCAAUGGGCGAGAGCCUGAACCAGCCAAGUAGCGUGAAGGAUGACUGCCCUAUGGGUUGUAAACUUCUUUUAUAAAGGAAUAAAGUCGGGUAUGGAUACCCGUUUGCAUGUACUUUAUGAAUAAGGAUCGGCUAACUCCGUGCCAGCAGCCGCGGUAAUACGGAGGAUCCGAGCGUUAUCCGGAUUUAUUGGGUUUAAAGGGAGCGUAGAUGGAUGUUUAAGUCAGUUGUGAAAGUUUGCGGCUCAACCGUAAAAUUGCAGUUGAUACUGGAUAUCUUGAGUGCAGUUGAGGCAGGCGGAAUUCGUGGUGUAGCGGUGAAAUGCUUAGAUAUCACGAAGAACUCCGAUUGCGAAGGCAGCCUGCUAAGCUGCAACUGACAUUGAGGCUCGAAAGUGUGGGUAUCAAACAGGAUUAGAUACCCUGGUAGUCCACACGGUAAACGAUGAAUACUCGCUGUUUGCGAUAUACUGCAAGCGGCCAAGCGAAAGCGUUAAGUAUUCCACCUGGGGAGUACGCCGGCAACGGUGAAACUCAAAGGAAUUGACGGGGGCCUGCACAAGCGGAGGAACAUGUGGUUUAAUUCGAUGAUACGCGAGGAACCUUACCCGGGCUUAAAUUGCAGAUGAAUUACGGUGAAAGCCGUAAGCCGCAAGGCAUCUGUGAAGGUGCUGCAUGGUUGUCGUCAGCUCGUGCCGUGAGGUGUCGGCUUAAGUGCCAUAACGAGCGCAACCCUUGUUGUCAGUUACUAACAGGUUCCGCUGAGGACUCUGACAAGACUGCCAUCGUAAGAUGUGAGGAAGGUGGGGAUGACGUCAAAUCAGCACGGCCCUUACGUCCGGGGCUACACACGUGUUACAAUGGGGGGUACAGAGGGCCGCUACCACGCGAGUGGAUGCCAAUCCCCAAAACCUCUCUCAGUUCGGACUGGAGUCUGCAACCCGACUCCACGAAGCUGGAUUCGCUAGUAAUCGCGCAUCAGCCACGGCGCGGUGAAUACGUUCCCGGGCCUUGUACACACCGCCCGUCAAGCCAUGGGAGCCGGGGGUACAAGAAGUGCGUAACCGCGAGGAGCGCCCUAGG
rnacentral:rRNA from 1 species